AACGAACGCUGGCGGCAUACCUAACACAUGCAAGUCGAACGAGACCUUCGGGUCUAGUGGCGCACGGGUGCGUAACGCGUGGGAACCUGCCCUUAGGUUCGUAAUAACUCCCCGAAAGGGGUGCUAAUACCGGAUAAUGUCUUCGGACCAAAGAUUUAUCGCCUUUGGAUGGGCCCGCGUUGGAUUAGCUAGUUGGUAGGGUAAAAGCCUACCAAGGCGACGAUCCAUAGCUGGUCUGAGAGGAUGAUCAGCCACACUGGGACUGAGACACGGCCCAGACUCCUACGGGAGGCAGCAGUGGGGAAUAUUGGACAAUGGGCGAAAGCCUGAUCCAGCAAUGCCGCGUGAGUGAUGAAGGCCUUAGGGUUGUAAAGCUCUUUUACCCGGGAUGAUAAUGACAGUACCGGGAGAAUAAGCUCCGGCUAACUCCGUG
rnacentral:rRNA from 1 species